rnacentral:lncRNA from 10 species
AACUGACACUUGGUAUUGAUGAUCAUUCUUUCCCUCCCUCAAAAGAAUAAGAGGGGAGGAUGAAGUCUGAGAGGUAAUUAUUUAAAAUAACUAAUUAAUUUAAUAUAAUGCAGUUUAUCAGGCAACAAUAUGUAGAGAUUAAAAUGCACGUUUGUUUCUAUCAUCUAUAGAAGAUACAUCUUCCACAGUUUUUUACAGAAGGCUGUCAUUUCUCUAAGGAUUCACAAUCAAUAUUCUUUGGUUUAUACAGUGUAUACAUCCAGUAAUCAGAUACAUUACUUGACAUGUUUUUAAAUGUUAACUUUCUUUGACAUUUUAAUAUUUUAAUCAGGAAUUUCAUUUCCCUAGAUAAGAUAGCUUUCAUUAUGAAAUUGUGCUUUUUCAGUUCAUUUGAAGGUGGCAUUGUGUCUGAACUUUAGGAACAAUGACUGAAGAUAAAGAUGUUAAAAAAACAUCAAGAUACAACAGAAUAUCAUAUAAAAUUUUUAUUAAGUUAAAUGACAUUAAAUGAGAGUAGUAGUUUUAAAAUAUAUCUACUAAUUCUUUGACAUGCCUUCCUUUAAGAAACGGAGCUUCAUCCCCCACCCCUUGAAUGUUGGGUGGAUGUAGUGGCUUGCUUCUAUCAAAUAGACUAUGUAGAAGUGAUGGUGUGUGACCUUCAAUAUGAGGUCAUGCAGGGCCUUGCAUCUGUCUCUUCACUCUCUCUGGGAUCACUUGCUCUGGUGAAAGCUGGUAAUAGAUACCAUGUCAUCAGAAUACUCAAGCAACUCCAUGUAGAGGUCCAUGUGGACAGGAAUGGAUGCUUCUUUUCAAAAAUCAUCAAGGAAUCAAUGCCUUCUGCUAGAGUCAUGUAAUUGAACCAUCCAGUAAGUGGAUCCUGUAGCUACAGCUCCAGUGAAGUUUUUAAGAUGACAGUAACUCCAGCCAACACCAUGGCUUGACCCUCAGCCAGAACCAUCCAGCUAAGCUGCCUUCAAAUUUUUGACUCAUAGAAAUAUGAGACAAUAAUGUUUUAUGUUUUAAACUCCCAAGUAUGUGGAUAAUUUGUUCUGCAUCAA